rnacentral:rRNA from 1 species
GACGAACGCUGGCGGCGUGCUUCACACCUGCAAGUCGAACGAAGUGGCGAACGGGUGAGUAACGCGUAAUCAAACUGCCCUUCAGAGGGGGACAACAGUUUGAAACGACUGCUCAUACCGCAUACUGAAGGCGGGGAUUGCGUCUGAUUAGCUAGUUGGAGGGGUAACGGCCCACCAAGGCGAUGAUCAGUAGCCGGGCGGAGAGGAUGAAGGGCCACAGUGGGACUGAGAAACGGCCCAGACUCCUACGGGAGGCAGCAGGGGGGAAUCUUCCGCAAUGGACGAAAGUCUGACGGAGCAACGCCGCGUGAGUGAUGACGGCCUUCGGGUUGUAAAGCUCCGUUAAUCGGGACGCGGUACCGGAAUAGAAAGCCACGGCUAACUACGUGCCAGCAGCCGCGGUAAUAC